rnacentral:rRNA from 1 species
UACGGGGGGGGCAAGCGUUGUUCGGAAUUACUGGGCGGAAAGGGCUCGUAGGUGGCCAACUAAGUCGGACGUGAAAUCCCUCAGCUUAACUGGGGAACUGCGUCCGAUACUGGAUGGCUUGAGUUUGGGAGGGGGAUGCGGAAUUCCAGGUGUAGCGGUGAAAUGCGCAGAUAUCUGGAGGAACACCGGUGGCGAAGGCGGCAUCCUGGACCGGCAUUGACGCUGAGGCGCGAAAGCCAGGGGAGCAAACGGG